rnacentral:tRNA from 1 species
UGGCCAAGUGGUAAGGCAACGGGUUUUGGUCCCGCUAUUCGGAGGUUCAAAUCCUUC